rnacentral:rRNA from 1 species
UACGUAGGGUGCAAGCGUUAAUCGGAAUUACUGGGCGUAAAGCGUGCGCAGGCGGUGAUGCAAGACAGAUGUGAAAUCCCCGGGCUCAACCUGGGAACUGCAUUUGUGACUGCAUCGCUAGAGUACGGUAGAGGGGGAUGGAAUUCCGCGUGUAGCAGUGAAAUGCGUAGAUAUGCGGAGGAACACCGAUGGCGAAGGCAAUCCCCUGGACCUGUACUGACGCUCAUGCACGAAAGCGUGGGGAGCAAACAGG